UACGUAGGCAGCAAGCGUUGUUCGGAAUUACUGGGCGUAAAGAGUGUGUAGGCGGUGCUCUAAGUUUGGUGUGAAAUCUCCCGGCUCAACUGGGAGGGUGCGCCGAAAACUGGAAUGCUUGAACAUGGGAGGGGAAAGCGGAAUUCCUGGUGUAGCGGUGAAAUGCGUAGAUAUCAGGAGGAACACCUGCGGUGUAGACGGCUUUCUGGACCAUUGUUGACGCUGAGACACGAAAGCGUGGGUAGCAAACAGG
rnacentral:rRNA from 1 species